rnacentral:rRNA from 1 species
GGCGAACGGGUGAGUAACACGUGAGUAACCUGCCCUUGACUUUGGGAUAACUUCAGGAAACUGGGGCUAAUACCGGAUAGGAGCUCCUGCUGCAUGGUGGGGGUUGGAGAGUUUCGGCGGUUGGGGAUGGACUCGCGGCUUAUCAGCUUGUUGGUGGGGUAGUGGCUUACCAAGGCUUUGACGGGUAGCCGGCCUGAGAGGGUGACCGGCCACAUUGGGACUGAGAUACGGCCCAG